AUUGAACGCUGGCGGCAUGCUUUACACAUGCAAGUCGAACGGCAGCGGGGAGGAGCUUGCUUCUCUGCCGGCGAGUGGCGAACGGGUGAGUAAUACAUCGGAACGUGUCGAGAAGAGGGGGAUAACCACCCGAAAGGGUGUCUAAUACCGCAUAAAUUCUGAGGAAGAAAGCUGGGGACCUAGGAAUAGGCCUAGCGCUUUUUGAGCGGCCGAUGUCGGAUUAGCUAGUUGGUGAGGUAAAGGCUCACCAAGGCGAAGAUCUGUAGCGGGUCUGAGAGGAUGAUCCGCCACACUGGGACUGAGACACGGCCCAGACUCCUACGGGAGGCAGCAGUGGGGAAUUGUGGACAAUGGGGGCAACCCUGAUCCAGCCAUGCCGCGUGUAUGAAGAAGGCCUUAGGGUUGUAAAGUACUUUUGUUAGGGAAGAAAAGUCAGCUGUGAAUAAUGGCUGAUACUGACGGUACCUAAAGAAUAAGCACCGGCUAACUACGUG
rnacentral:rRNA from 1 species